rnacentral:rRNA from 1 species
UACGGAGGGGGCUAGCGUUGUUCGGAAUUACUGGGCGUAAAGCGCACGUAGGCGGCUUUGUAAGUUAGAGGUGAAAGCCCGGGGCUCAACUCCGGAAUUGCCUUUAAGACUGCAUCGCUAGAAUUGUGGAGAGGUAAGUGGAAUUCCGAGUGUAGAGGUGAAAUUCGUAGAUAUUCGGAAGAACACCAGUGGCGAAGGCGGCAUACUGGACCACAUCUGACGCUGAGGCGCGAAAGCCAGGAGAGCAAACGGG